rnacentral:lncRNA from 1 species
GACAGGGUCUCACUCUGUCACCCAGGCUGAAGUCUAGUGGCAGAAUCACAGCUCACUGCAGCCUCAAACUCCUAGGCUCAAGAAAUCUUUCUGCCUCAGUCUCCUGAAUAGCCGAGGCUACAGAAACCACAAAAAACAGGAGUUGCCUACAAUUCCCUCCCACUUUCUGCCUGUUGACCAGCUCUGGCUUCAGCAUCUCUGAUCAAGGUAAUAUGAUUAAAACACAGCAUAGUCUAAUCUGUGUGGUCCUCCUCAACCAUAGCACCAUGAAACACCUCUAUCAAAG